CCUACGGGAGGCAGCAGUGAGGAAUAUUGGUCAAUGGUCGGGAGACUGAACCAGCCAAGCCGCGUGAGGGAUGAAGGUACAGAGUAUCGUAAACCUCUUUUGUCAGGGAACAAAGUCGGGGACGUGUCCCCGGCUGAGUGUACCUGAAGAAAAAGCAUCGUCUAACUCCGUGCCAGCAGCCGCGGUAAUACGGAGGAUGCGAGCGUUAUCCGGAUUUAUUGGGUUUAAAGGGUGCGCAGGCGGUCUGUUAAGUCAGCGGUCAAAGCCCGGGGCUCAACCCCGGCCCGCCGUUGAAACUGGCAGUCUCGAGUUGGAGAGAAGUAUGCGGAAUGCGCGGUGUAGCGGUGAAAUGCAUAGAUAUCGCGCAGAACUCCGAUUGCGAAGGCAGCAUGCCGGCUCCAAACUGACGCUGAGGCACGAAAGCGUGGGUAUCGAACAGGAUUAGAUACCCGGGUAGUC
rnacentral:rRNA from 1 species